AGUGAACGCUGGCGGUAGGCCUAACACAUGCAAGUCGAACGGCAGCACAGUAGAGCUUGCUCUUACGGGUGGCGAGUGGCGGACGGGUGAGGAAUACAUCGGAAUCUACUUUUUCGUGGGGGAUAACGUAGGGAAACUUACGCUAAUACCGCAUACGACCUACGGGUGAAAGCAGGGGAUCUUCGGACCUUGCGCGAUUGAAUGAGCCGAUGUCGGAUUAGCUAGUUGGCGGGGUAAAGGCCCACCAAGGCGACGAUCCGUAGCUGGUCUGAGAGGAUGAUCAGCCACACUGGAACUGAGACACGGUCCAGACUCCUACGGGAGGCAGCAGUGGGGAAUAUUGGACAAAGGGCGCAAGCCUGAUCCAGCCAUACCGCGUGGGUGAAGAAGGCCUUCGGGUUGUAAAGCCCUUUUGUUGGGAAAGAAAAGCAGCAGGUUAAUACCCCGCUGUUCUGACGGUACCCAAAGAAUAAGCACCGGCUAACUUCGUG
rnacentral:rRNA from 1 species